UAAGACGAAGGUGGCAAGCGUUGUUCGGUGUUACUGGGCUUAAAGCGUGUGUAGGUGGCUGAGUAAGUCAAAGAUGAAAUCCCAAGGCUCAACCUUGGAAUUGUUUUUGAAACUGUUCAGCUUGAGGAUAGUUGAGGAGGAUGGAAUUCCCGGUGGAGCGGUGAAAUGCGUAGAUAUCGGGAGGAACACCAGAGGCGAAGGCGAUUCUCUAAGCUAUUCCUGACACUGAGACACGAAAGCUAGGGGAGCAAACGGGAUUAGAUACCCCGGUAGUCCUAGCCGUAAACGAUGGGCACUAGAUGUUUCCGCUUUUAGCGGGGGUGUCGAAGCUAACGCAUUAAGUGCCCCGCCUGGGGAGUACGGUCGCAGGGCUG
rnacentral:rRNA from 1 species